CUUUUAAAAGGGAGACGGCAUCUGAACCUUGCCGAGUAGGAAUGUUCCAGAAGUAAGAGAGAUGACUAGGGUUUCAAGAACAAGGACCAGCACCUAUGAAGGCUCUGAGGCACAGACCACUGUGACCUGUGGAGAAGUGGGGCCAUAGGAGUUGAAUCACUGCUAUGACUUCUGAAUGGAUCUGCUUCUGGAGAUGAGCUCUCCGCCUGUUCCCAGGAGGUCUGAGAGAUACCCUGGACAUUAUCCGUGAGAGCCACCUGCCAAGGCAGGAGAUAUUGCCCAUUCGUCCAACUGCCGCUGUCCUGCCAGUAUAUCGUCUGAGAUUACCAUCAGCUAAAUAUUGCAUUGUCUUUGGACAAUUUUCCUACAUUGUGACUCCUCACUACAUUUUCAAUGCUUUUCUAGUCCCAGACAAGCUACAGACUGUUAAUUUACACUUGCUUUUGCCUUGCCUGAGGAAAUUGAAAAUAAAUUUUAAUUUCCUAGUCAAGGGCUACGGGUGCUUUGUGUGGUUUGGAGGAAAAAAAAAUACUGUUAGAUGGAAUUAGGGAAUAUUAGGAGAGUUUCUGAAGUUAGUGAAGGUACACAGUAAUUGAUCACUUGCCCUCAUAGUGAGAGGUCAUUCCAAUGAGCAGAGGUUCUGUCAAUAUCUGAGAUCUGUUUGAUACCUGGCCUCAAUCUGUCGAUCACGCCCAGUAACCAUAUUCAUAGGCUUCAGAUCUGAAUUUUGAAUUGCAUCAGAAGCUUUCCUCUGGCCUCAGAGAUGCCAUUGAGACCAUUCUCAUAGUUAGUCACCACUCACACUACACAAAAUGGAAGAAAAAAACUUCCUUUGGGGCAAAUCAACAAUCUCUGGUAGGAAAAUAAACAAGGAUGCUUUCAGAAUACCAGAAGCCCAAGUCUGAGCAUCUGGAGGCAAAGGAAGAGUAGAGAAGUCUUUGUUGGUGGGACCACUGCCUGUAGGAAUUUAAGGGAACUUGGAUCUUAGGAGUUGCUCAGUUAAGUCCUAGAGAGAGCCUAAGUGGGACUGAUGAGAAGCAGAACAAAUUGCUAUUUCUGAGAAGAAAAACCAACACUUUUGGAUGUUAACUUUUGGAUGUUUGAAUUUUUUGUUUUAGUUUUUAUUCCUUUUGGGAAAAGCUAUUUUUAUCGCAAAAAAAUAUGUAAAGCUAGCAACAAAAUAGUUGAAAGUAUUUAUUGUGUACCUACUGUGUGAUAAUAGCAGCUGGGUUUCAAACACAAGUGAAUAUGAAAUAAAUGAGCCCUAGAUGCACAAAAA
rnacentral:lncRNA from 1 species